UGAGGAAUAUUGGUCAAUGGGCGCAGGCCUGAACCAGCCAAGUAGCGUGAAGGAUGACUGCCCUAUGGGUUGUAAACUUCUUUUAUAUGGGAAUAAAGUUUUCCACGUGUGGAAUUUUGUAUGUACCAUAUGAAUAAGGAUCGGCUAACUCCGUGCC
rnacentral:rRNA from 1 species